AUACGUAGGGUGCAAGCGUUAAUCGGAAUUACUGGGCGUAAAGCGUGCGCAGGCGGUUUUGUAAGUCAGAGGUGAAAUCCCCGGGCGCAACCUGGGAACUGCCCUUGGGACUGCAAGGCUGGAGUGCGGCCGAGGGGGAUGGAAUUCCGCGGUUAGCAGUGAAAUGCGUAGAUAUGCGGAGGAACACCGAUGGCGAAGGCAAUCCCCUGGGCCUGCACUGACGCUCAUGCACGAAAGCGUGGGGAGCAAACAGGAUUAGAUACCCUGGUAGUCCACGCCCUAAACGAUGUCAACUGGUUGUUGGGGAUUUAUUUUCUCAGUAACGAAGCUAACGCGUGAAGUUGACCGCCUGGGGAGUACGGCCGCAAGGUUAAAACUCAAAUGAAUUGGCGGGG
rnacentral:rRNA from 1 species